rnacentral:rRNA from 1 species
GUUAUCCGGAAUCAUUGGGUUUAAAGGGUCCGUAGGCGGGCCUGUAAGUCAGGGGUGAAAGUUUGUGGCUCAACCAUAAAAUUGCCUUUGAUACUGCAGGUCUUGAGUCAUGGUGGGGUUGCCGGAACAUGUGGUGUAGCGGUGAAAUGCAUAGAUAUCACAUAGAACACCGAUCGCGAAGGCAGGUGACCAACCAUGUACUGACGCUGAUGGACGAAAGCGUGGGUAGCGAACGGGAUUAGAUACCCUGGUAGUCCACGCCGUAAACGAUGGAUACUAGCUGUGGGGACUUCGGUCUCCGUGGCCAAGCGAAAGUGAUAAGUAUCCCACCUGGGGAGUACGUUCGCAAGAAUGAAACUCAAAGGAAUUGACGGGGGUCCGCACAAGCGGUGGAGCAUGUGG